rnacentral:rRNA from 1 species
AAGCAGCUUGCUGCUUUGCUGACGAGUGGCGGACGGGUGAGUAAUGUCUGGGAAACUGCCUGAUGGAGGGGGAUAACUACUGGAAACGGUAGCUAAUACCGCAUAACGUCGCAAGACCAAAGAGGGGGACCUUCGGGCCUCUUGCCAUCGGAUGUGCCCAGAUGGGAUUAGCUAGUAGGUGGGGUAAAGGCUCACCUAGGCGACGAUCCCUAGCUGGUCUGAGAGGAUGACCAGCCACACUGGAACUGAGACACGGUCCAGACUCCUACGGGAGGCAGCAGUGGGGAAUAUUGCACAAUGGGCGCAAGCCUGAUGCAGCCAUGCCGCGUGUAUGAAGAAGGCCUUCGGGUUGUAAAGUACUUUCAGCGGGGAGGAAGGGAGUAAAGUUAAUACCUUUGCUCAUUGACGUUACCCGCAGAAGAAGCACCGGCUAACUCCGUGCCAGCAGCCGCGGUAAUACGGAGGGUGCAAGCGUUAAUCGGAAUUACUGGGCGUAAAGCGCACGCAGGCGGUUUGUUAAGUCAGAUGUGAAAUCCCCGGGCUCAACCUGGGAACUGCAUCUGAUACUGGCAAGCUUGAGUCUCGUAGAGGGGGGUAGAAUUCCAGGUGUAGCGGUGAAAUGCGUAGAGAUCUGGAGGA